CCUACGGGUGGCAGCAGUGAGGAAUUUUGGUCAAUGGACGAGAGUCUGAACCAGCCAAGUAGCGUGAAUGAUGACUGCCCUCUGGGCUGUAAACUUCUUUUAUAUGGGAAUAAAAUGGUCCACGUGUGUGUUUUCGUAUCUACCAUAUCAAACAGGAUAGGCUAACCUAGUUCCAUCAGACCCGGUACUACGGUGGAUACGAGGCUUAUCCGGAUUUAUUGGGUUUAAAGGGAGCGUAGGUGGAUUGUUAAGUCAGUUGUGAAGGUUUGCGGCUCAACCGUAAAAUUGCAGUUGAAACUGGCAGUCUUGAGUACAGUAGAGGUGAGCGGAAUUCGUGGUGUAGCGGUGAAAUGCUUAGAUAUCACGAAGAACUCCGGUUGCGAAGGCAGUUCACUGGACUGCAACUGACACUGAGGCUCGAAAGUGUGGGUAUCAAACAGGAUUAGAUACCCGUGUAGUC
rnacentral:rRNA from 1 species